AGUGAACGCUGGCGGUAGGCCUAACACAUGCAAGUCGAACGGCAGCACAGUAAGAGCUUGCUCUUACGGGUGGCGAGUGGCGGACGGGUGAGGAAUACAUCGGAAUCUACUUUUUCGUGGGGGAAAACGUAGGGAAACUUACGCUAAUACCGCAUACGACCUACGGGUGAAAGCAGGGGAUCUUCGGACCUUGCGCGAUUGCAUGAGCCGAUGUCGGAUUAGCUAGUUGGCGGGGUAAAGGCCCACCAAGGCGACGAUCCGUAGCUGGUCUGAGAGGAUGAUCAGCCACACUGGAACUGAGACACGGUCCAGACUCCUACGGGAGGCAGCAGUGGGGAAUAUUGGACAAUGGGCGCAAGCCUGAUCCAGCCAUACCGCGUGGGUGAAGAAGGCCUGCGGGUUGUAAAGCCCUUUUGUUGGGAAAGAAAAGCAGCAGGUUAAUACCCCGCUGUUCUGACGGUACCCAAAGAAUAAGCACCGGCUAACUUCGUG
rnacentral:rRNA from 1 species